UUAUGGUAUACUAGUACACCUGUAAUCCUAGCUACUUCAAUAACAUAAGACUGGCAGAUCUCUGGAGCUGAGAAAUUCUGAGCAGAAACCAACUGGGUGUCUACAAUAAGUUCAGCCUCAAUACGGUGAGUACCCAGGAGUGGGGGGCCAUCAGGUUGCCUAAGGCGGGGAAAACAAGCCCAAAUUGAUAAUGGAACAGAUUAAAGCUCCUAUGCUGAUCAAUAGUAGGGUACUGCUGGGGUACAUGACUAACCCCAACACUCCAGUUUGGGUAAGAUGGAGAAAUCCAAUCUUU
rnacentral:SRP_RNA from 1 species